GACGAACCGUGCGAACGUUGUUCGGAAUCACUGGGCUUAAAGGGCGCGUAGGCGGGCCCGCAAGUCAGGGGUGAAAUCCCACGGCUCAACCGCGGAAGUGCCUUUGAUACUGUGGGUCUUGAGGGAGGUAGGGGCGUGCGGAACUUCCGGUGGAGCGGUGAAAUGCGUAGAUAUCGGAAGGAACACCGGUGGCGAAAGCGGCGCGCUGGACCUCUUCUGACGCUGAGGCGCGAAAGCCAGGGGAGCAAACGGG
rnacentral:rRNA from 1 species